CGGACGAACGCUGGCGGCGUGCCUAACACAUGCAAGUCGAGCGGGGUUGAAGCGAGGGGUAACUCGGACUUCUACCUAGCGGCGGACGGGUGAGUAACGCGUGGGCAACCUGCCUCAAGGUUUGGGAUAACAGCUCGAAAGGGCUGCUAAUACCGGAUAUGCCUGUGGCCUCGCAUGGGGCUAUGAGCAAAGGGGAAACCCGCCUUGAGAUGGGCCCGCGUCCCAUCAGCUAGUUGGUGAGGUGAAGGCUCACCAAGGCGACGACGGGUAGCCGGCCUGAGAGGGUGAUCGGCCACAUUGGGACUGAGAUACGGCCCAGACUCCUACGGGAGGCAGCAGUAGGGAAUAUUGCGCAAUGGGGGGAACCCUGACGCAGCAACGCCACGUGUGGGAAGAAGCAUUUCGGUGUGUAAACCACUGUCGGAAAGGAAUAACGGAAGACUUCGGUCUUUAUGAAUGUACUUUUAGAGGAAGCACCGGCAAACUUCGUG
rnacentral:rRNA from 1 species